UACAGACAUGGUUUCUACUUUCUUAUGAAACGAGAGAAACACACUGAAUAUAGCGGAGAAAGAAAAGAGGUUCAUUUUUCUGUCAGGGGAAGAGUGAUUGAUGCCCAGUCUGGUCAAUCUAUUGUUAAUGCCACCAUAGUGAUAGAAGACUCCAGGCAUAAAGUACACACUAGCAGCAAGGACAGUACUGGAGGCUUUUAGCUCAAGAGAUUUACCAGUUUCAUGCCUUUGCAGCUGGGAACUCAGCAGCUCAGUGUUCAGGCUCAGGGCUUUCAGGAUCAACUCAGAUUAAGGUUGGGUUGUUGAGAUCUUUCCUGGUUGAUGCCGGUGUCCAGUGAAUUUGUCCUCACAUCAGAAGGCAUUAUCUGUUGUUAUUGAGUUCAGAAAAACAAUACUCACCAAGGCCAAGCAGUGGUGCUGGCUGCUGCUUGUAAACAAUGUAAGUGUAUCAGUUAUAUUUUUAAGCUCUGCACAUUUAAUGUGUGCUGUAUUAAUAAGUUUGUUGUGAAUACCCACUUACAUAUGGUUAUAAAAAUAA